AGUGAACGCUGGCGGUAGGCCUAACACAUGCAAGUCGAACGGCAGCACAGUAAGAGCUUGCUCUUACGGGUGGCGAGUGGCGGACGGGUGAGGCAUACAUCGGAAUCUACUUUUUCGAGGGGGAUAACGUAGGGAAACUUACGCUAAUACCGCAUACGACCUACGGGUGAAAGCAGGGGAUCUUCGGACCUUGCGCGAUUGGAUGAGCCGAUGUCGGAUUAGCUAGUGGGCGGGGGAAUGGCCCACCAAGGCGACGAUCGGUAGCUGGUCUGAGAGGGUGAUCAGGCACAUUGGAUAUGAGACAGAGCCCAGACACCGACAGGGAGCAGCAGUGGAGAAUACUAGGCGAGGGAGGCAAGCCGGAUCCAGCCAAACCGGGUGAGUCAAGAAGGCGCUCGGGUUGGAGAGCCAUUAUGUUGGGAAAGAAAUGCAGCUGGUUAAUACGCCGCUGUUCUGACGGUAACCAAAGAAGAAGCACCGGCUAACUUCGUG
rnacentral:rRNA from 1 species